rnacentral:rRNA from 1 species
CCAUGCAUGUACAAGUUCACACCCUCAGCACGGCUAAAACCGCGAACGGCUCAUUAUAUCAGUCGAGGUUCCUUGGAUGAUACGAUGCGAAUCUGUUGGAUAACUGUGGUAAUUCUAGAGCUAAUACAUGUGCAAACCCUAGUGCUCGGACCCCCACUGGUUGGGAAGAUGAGCCGACUUUAUUAGUUCAAAACCAGUCCCGGGGCGAUUUGGGGCCUCGCGCCCCUGCGCCUCGCGAACUCCCUUUGAUGACUCUAGAUAACCUGGACCUGAUCGCCCGGCGCUUGUCGUCGGCGACGCGUCUCUCAAAAGUCUGCCCUAUCAAAUGUCGAUGGUCAGUGACCGGCUAACCAUGUUGGCCACGGGUGGCGGGGAAUCGGGGUUUGGUUCCGGAGAGGGAGCAUGAGAAACGGCUGCCACCUCUAAGGAAGGCAGCAGGCGCGCAACUUACCCACUCCUAGCGCGGGGAGGUAGUGACGAAAAAUAACAGGACGGGACCUCGGUCGAGGCUCCGCU